GGCCUGGUAGUGUAUGGUGCACAGCUGCGGGUUUGUAAUGACACUCUACGCAAUCCAUAUACAUUUGCGCAGCAGGUCUUCGUUCGAUUCGAGGCUAGGCCA